rnacentral:rRNA from 1 species
UAGGGGACCUUAGAGGGCAACCCUCCACACUGGAACUGAGACAAGGACCAGACUUCUACGGAAGGCAGCAGUGAGGAAUAUUGGUCAAUGGAGGAAACUCUGAACCAGCUAUGCCGCGUGUAGGAUGACAGUCUUUUAGAUUGUAAACUACUUUUACAUAGAAAUAAAAGUUACUACGGGAUGGUAACCUGAAGGUACUAUGAGAAUAAGUGUCGGCUAAUUUCGUGCCAGCAGCCGCGGUAAAACGAAAGACACAAGCGUUAUCCGGAUUUAUUGGGUUUAAAGGGUGUGUAGGUUGUUUAUUAAGUCAGUAGUGAAAGCUUACAGCUUAACUGUAAAAUUGCUAUUGAUACUGAUAAUCUUGAGUCAGAUUGGAGCGUCUGGAAUGUAUGGUGUAGCGGUGAAAUGCAUAGAUAUCAUACAGAACACCAAUAGCGAAGGCAGGAUGCUAAAUCUUCACUGACACUGAGGCACGAAAGCGUGGGUAGCAAACAGGAUUAGAUACCCUGGUAGUCCACGCCCUAAACUAUGAUCACUAGCUAUUGGAAAAAUUAUAUUCAGUGGCCAAGCUAAAGCGAUAAGUGAUCCACCUGGGAAGUACGAUCGCAAGAUUGAAACUCAAAGGAAUUGACGGGGUUUCGCACAAGCGGUGGAGCAUGUGGUUUAAUUCGAUGAUACGCGAGGAACCUUACCAAGGUUUAAAUGUAUUACGAAUAAGCUGGAAACAACUUAGUCUAUAAGACGUAAUACAAGGUGCUGCAUGGUUGUCUUCAGUUCGUGCUGUGAAGUGUUUGGUUAAGUCCUAUAACGAGCGCAACCCUUAUUGUUAGUUGCCAUCGGGUAAAGCCGGGGACUCUAACAAAACUGCCGGUGUAAAUCGAGAGGAAGGUGGGGAUAAUGUCAAAUCAUCAUGGCCUUUAUGCCUUGGGCUACACACGUGCUACAA